CCUACGGGUGACAGCAGUGAGGAAUAUUGGUCAAUGGACGAGAGUCUGAACCAGCCAAGUAGCGUGAAGGAUGACUGCCCUAUGGGUUGUAAACUUCUUUUAUAUGGGAAUAAAACGUUGCACGUGUGGACUUUUGUAUGUACCAUAUGAAUAAAGAUAGGCUAACUCCGUGCCAGCAGUCGCGGUAAUACGGAGGAUCCGAGCGUUAUCCGGAUUUAUUGGGUUGAAAGGGAGUGUAGUUGGGUUGUUAAGUCAGGUGUGAAAGUGUGCGGCUCAACCGUAAAAUUGCAGUUGAAACUGGCAGUCUUGAGUACAGUAGAGGUAGGCGGAAUUCGUGGUGUAGCGGUGAAAUGCUUAGAUAUCACGAAGAACCCCGAUUGCGAAGGCAGCUCACUGGACUGUAACUGACACUGAGGCUCGAAAGUGUGGGUAUCAAACAGGAUUAGAUACCCUGGUAGUC
rnacentral:rRNA from 1 species